rnacentral:ncRNA from 1 species
CUACUGCGGUCGAGAGAUCGUGGGAGGGUCUGCCAGAAGUCAGCCGAAGCCAUAGUAGGUCACAUCGGC